rnacentral:rRNA from 1 species
CCUACGGGAGGCAGCAGUGAGGAAUAUUGGUCAAUGGACGAGAGUCUGAACCAGCCAAGUAGCGUGAAGGAUGACUGCCCUAUGGGUUUUAAACUUCUUUUAUAAAGGAAUAAAGCGAGGCACGUGUGCCUUUUUGUAUGUACUUUAUAAAAUAAUAUCGGCUAAACACGUUCCAGCAGCCGCGCUAAUACGGAGGGUCCGAGCGUUAUCCGGAUUUAUUUGGUUUAACGGGAGCGUAGAUGGGUUUUUAAGGCAGUUGUGAAAGUGUGCGGCUCAAACGUAAAAUUGCAAUUGAUACUGGCAGUCUUGAGUACAGUUGAGGUAUGCGGAAUUCGUGGUGUAGCGGUGAAAUGCUUAGAUAUCACGAAGAACCCCGAUUGCGAAGGCAGCUUACUAAACUGUGACUGACAUUGAUGCUCGAAAGUGUGGGUAUCAAACAGGAUUAGAUACCCCAGUAGUC